CCGGCACGGGUGAGUAACGCGUAUGCGACCUGCCCGUUGCAGGGGGAUAAUCGGGAGAAAUCCCGUCUAAUACCGCGUAAUGCCGCGGGGCUGCAUGGCCCUGCGGCCAAAGGGAGCGAUUCCGGCAACGGAUGGGCAUGCGUGACAUUAGCUAGUUGGCGGGGCAACGGCCCACCAAGGCGACGAUGUCUAGGGGUUCUGAGAGGAAGGUCCCCCACACUGGUACUGAGACACGGACCAGACUCCUACGGGAGGCAGCAG
rnacentral:rRNA from 1 species